AUUGAACGCUGGCGGCAUGCUUUACACAUGCAAGUCGAACGGUAACAGGCCGCAAGGUGCUGACGAGUGGCGAACGGGUGAGUAAUGCAUCGGAACGUGCCCAGUCGUGGGGGAUAACGCAGCGAAAGCUGUGCUAAUACCGCAUACGAUCUAUGGAUGAAAGCGGGGGGCCGUAAGGCCUCGCGCGAUUGGAGCGGCCGAUGUCAGAUUAGCUAGUUGGUGGGGUAAAGGCCCACCAAGGCGACGAUCUGUAGCUGGUCUGAGAGGACGACCAGCCACACUGGGACUGAGACACGGCCCAGACUCCUACGGGAGGCAGCAGUGGGGAAUUUUGGACAAUGGGCGCAAGCCUGAUCCAGCAAUGCCGCGUGCAGGAAGAAGGCCUUCGGGUUGUAAACUGCUUUUGUACGGAACGAAACGGUCUGGGUUAAUACCCUGGGCUAAUGACGGUACCGUAAGAAUAAGCACCGGCUAACUACGUGCCAGCCGCCGCAGUAACAC
rnacentral:rRNA from 1 species